UUAGCUUCUUGGCCUUUUGGUUAAGAUCAAGUAUAGUAUCUGCUCUUGUUGGUUUAAUAACAACUGCACACAACUUGAGACAUUAAAAGGGUAAUGAUUUUGAGGAAAAGCUCAGGACUUAGGGACAAGGCUGGAUGAGUCUGGAUAUGGCUGACCUGGAGAAAUAAGCUGUCUGUCCCAUUCUAGUCUCCAGACUCACU